rnacentral:rRNA from 1 species
UACGGAGGAUGCAAGCGUUAUCCGGAAUGCUUGGGCGUAAAGGGUCCGCAGGUGGCACUGUAAGUCUGCUGUCAAAGAAUGAGGCUUAACCUCAUCAAGGCAGUGGAAACUACAUAGCUAGAGUACGGUCGGGGUAGAAGGAAUUCCUGGUGUAGCGGUGAAAUGCGUAGAGAUCAGGAAGAACACCGGUGGCGAAAGCGUUCUGCUAGACCUGUACUGACACUGAGGGACGAAAGCUAGGGGAACGAAUGGG